AUCGAACGCUGGCGGAAUGCUUUACACAUGCAAGUCGAGCGGCAGCGCGGGGGCAACCCUGGCGGCGAGCGGCGAACGGGUGAGUAAUGCAUCGGAACGUACCCAGUAAUGGGGGAUAACUAUCCGAAAGGAUGGCUAAUACCGCAUACGCCCUGAGGGGGAAAGCGGGGGAUCGCAAGACCUCGCGUUAUUGGAGCGGCCGAUGUCCGAUUAGCUAGUUGGUGGGGUAAAGGCCUACCAAGGCGACGAUCGGUAGCUGGUCUGAGAGGACGACCCGCCACACGGGAACUGAGACACGGUCCAGACUCCUACGGGGGGCAGCAGUGGGGAAUUUUGGACAAUGGGGGCAACCCUGAUCCAGCCAUUCCGCGUGAGUGAAGAAGGCCUUCGGGUUAUAAAGCUCUUUCGGCAGGAACGAAACGGUGCGGGCCAAUACCCUGCAUCAAUGACGGUACCUGAAGAAGAAGCACCGGCUAACUACGUGCCAGCCGCCGCCGUAACAC
rnacentral:rRNA from 1 species